rnacentral:rRNA from 1 species
UGCGUAGGCGGUUGGGUAAGUCAGAGGUGAAAUUCCGGGGCUCAACCUCGGAACUGCCUUUGAUACUGCCUGACUAGAGUACUGGAGAGGAGACUGGAAUUCACGGUGUAGCAGUGAAACGCGUAGAUAUCGUGAGGAAGACCAGUGGCGAAGGCGAGUCUCUGGACAGUUACUGACGCUGAGGCACGAAGGCUAGGGGAGCAAACG